UACGUAGGGGGCUAGCGUUGUUCGGAUUCAUUGGGCGUAAAGGGUGCGUAGGCGGCGCGGUAAGUCGGGUGUGAAAUCUCGGAGCUUAACUCCGAAACUGCAUUCGAUACUGCCGUGCUUGAGGACUGGAGAGGAGACUGGAAUUUACGGUGUAGCGGUGAAAUGCGUAGAUAUCGUAAGGAAGACCAGUGGCGAAGGCGGGGUCUCUGGACAGUUCCUGACGCUGAGGCACGAAGGUCAGGGGAGCAAACGGG
rnacentral:rRNA from 1 species